CCUACGGGGUGCAGCAGUAGGGAAUCUUCCACAAUGGGCGAAAGCCUGAUGGAGCAACGCCGCGUGGGUGAAGAAGGUCUUCGGAUCGUAAAACCCUGUUGUUAGAGAAGAAAGUGCGUGAGAGUAACUGUUCACGUUUCGACGGUAUCUAACCAGAAAGCCACGGCUAACUACGUGCCAGCAGCCGCGGUAAUACGUAGGUGGCAAGCGUUAUCCGGAUUUAUUGGGCGUAAAGGGAACGCAGGCGGUCUUUUAAGUCUGAUGUGAAAGCCUUCGGCUUAACCGGAGUAGUGCAUUGGAAACUGGGAGACGUGAGUGCAGAAGAGGAGAGUGGAACUCCAUGUGUAGCGGUGAAAUGCGUAGAUAUAUGGAAGAACACCAGUGGCGAAAGCGGCUCUCUGGUCUGUAACUGACGCUGAGGUUCAAAAGCGUGGGUAGCAAACAGGAUUAGAUACCCCUGUAGUC
rnacentral:rRNA from 1 species